rnacentral:sRNA from 1 species
GAAGACUUCACUGAAAGUGUUGAAGCUGAUACAUUGUAACAAGAAGGUUAUAAAUCUUGCAGCUUGGAUAUACCACCGAGACAAGAUGCUGAGCACAGAAUCACCCUGCUGUUGUCUGUCAGCAUUCUCCCUCCCCCUACGUCUUUCCCUUCCCACGGAGAGCAGCUAUCCAACUUGAUAAAGUCAAUCUUCAAGUAUAUUGUGCGUGGUCUCUUCUGGAUAACUUUGAGUGGAACCAGGGAUACAGCAGCCGGUUUGGUCUCUUCCACGUUGAUUUUGAAGACCCAGCUAGACCCCGAGUCCCUUACACAUCGGCCAAGGAAUAUGCCAAGAUCAUCCGAAACAAUGGCCUUGAAGCACAUCUGUAGGCAAGAUGGCUGAGAAAUACAGGAGAGGCGUCUGCUUUUGGAAAGGAAAUCUGCUUUGGUGAUGAUCUUUCAGGCAAUCUCAACUUACUUCUUUAAUCAACAUUUAAUAUCAAUGGAUCUGUGAUUAAAAGGUCUGAAUAUGUAAUGCCUCGUGAAGUAUUUAAUAAUGGCCUUUAUUUGUAUUUGGAUCAAUGAGGUUUUUAAAAAAAAAUGGAAGAGAAAACCAUUAACCUUGAUUUUUGUAUUGCAAAAUCAGAUAGACCUGGAAACAUAAAUUUAAAUCCUUAGACAUUUUUCUAGAAAAAAAAUGCAAAGUUUAUAAAGAUGAUACAACCAUGAUUUGCAACUGUAACAGGAGACCA